rnacentral:lncRNA from 1 species
AACUUACAUUUAGCUGGAUUUAUUGCCGUCGUAGUUCCAUCUUGUCGCCUUCGUACUUUUAUUCGAUGGCAACACGACGGGAUUACGAGGUCUUCACUGAAGUCGUGUUGCCAUCGUAAGACCUUCGGGUAUCUUCGUGAUUCAUUCGUGUAGACAUCGCAAUGUCAAAACUGCCCGAUGGAAACGAUGGAAACACGAAUGCAAUACGAUGUUCAAAGAUGCAUU